rnacentral:rRNA from 1 species
GCGGUGCGCAGCCUACACAUGCAGUCGAGCGGAACGAUGGAAGCUUGCUUCCAGGCGUCGAGCGGCGGACGGGUGAGUAAUGCAUAGGAAUCUGCCCGGUAGUGGGGGAUAACCUGGGGAAACCCAGGCUAAUACCGCAUACGCCCUACGGGGGAAAGCAGGGGAUCUUCGGACCUUGCGCUAUCGGAUGAGCCUAUGUCGGAUUAGCUAGUUGGUGGGGUAAAGGCCUACCAAGGCGACGAUCCGUAGCUGGUCUGAGAGGAUGAUCAGCCACAUCGGGACUGAGACACGGCCCGAACUCCUACGGGAGGCAGCAGUGGGGAAUAUUGGACAAUGGGCGCAAGCCUGAUCCAGCCAUGCCGCGUGUGUGAAGAAGGCCCUCGGGUUGUAAAGCACUUUCAGUGAGGAAGAAGGCCUUCGGGUUAAUACCCUGGAGGAAGGACAUCACUCACAGAAGAAGCACCGGCUAACUCCGUGCCAGCAGCCGCGGUAAUACGGAGGGUGCGAGCGUUAAUCGGAAUUACUGGGCGUAAAGCGCGCGUAGGUGGCUUGAUAAGCCGGUUGUGAAAGCCCCGGGCUCAACCUGGGAACGGCAUCCGGAACUGUCAGGCUAGAGUGCAGGAGAGGAAGGUAGAAUUCCCGGUGUAGCGGUGAAAUGCGUAGAGAUCGGGAGGAAUACCAGUGGCGAAGGCGGCCUUCUGGACUGACACUGACACUGAGGUGCGAAAGCGUGGGUAGCAAACAGGAUUAGAUACCCUGGUAGUCCACGCCGUAAACGAUGUCGACUAGCCGUUGGGCUCCUUGAGAGCUUUGUGGCGCAGUUAACGCGAUAAGUCGACCGCCUGGGGGAGUACGGCCGCAAGGUUAAACUCAAUGAAUUGACGGGGGCCCGCACAAGCGUGAGCAUGUGGUUUAAUUCGAUGCAACGCGAGGAGCUUACUACCUGACAUCGAGAGACUGGCAGAGAUGCUGUGCUCGGGAGCUCUCAGAACAGUGCUGCAUGCCUGUCGUCAGCUCGUGUUGUGAAUGUAGGGUUAGGUCCCGUACCGAGCGCAAUCUGUCUACUGCCAGCGAUCGUCGUACUCUAGGAACUGCGUACAUCGGAGAGAUGACAGCUCAGUCAUAUGCCUUACGGUAGCUACCACGGGUC